rnacentral:pre_miRNA from 1 species
UUUCCACUCCCUCCAUCCGAAAAUACUUGUCAUCAAAAUGGAUAAAAAUAGAUGUAUCUAAAACUAAAAUACGUCUAGAUACAUUUCCUUUUAUCCAUUUUGAUGACAAGUAUUUCCGGACGGAGGGAGUAUUUG